AGAGCGUGACCAGCCACCCAGGCUUGUAACUCCCAUUUUCGCACUCCAGAUAAGGUGGGGACCACUUGACGUGGCUCCUGUCCCCUCCAAGCCCAUCCCUGCGCCGCCAGCUGUGGCCUAGGCCCCGUGGCCCCUGAUUGGAGCCACGGCGGUGCAAGUGGGGCCUCCACUUUCGCCGAAGCCCAUGGAACCACUCGGUCUCUAGAGUGGCGUUAGCCAGGUGGUGAGCGGAGGAGGACAGGUCCUGCAGCAGGAUGCGACUCUCCUCGCGGGUGGCCUGGAGGAAGACCUGCGGAGCGGGCGUGGACAGUGACUCGGUGCUGAAGGUGAUGGCCGCCCGGGAGAUGCUGGGCUCACCCUCCAGGAGACUUCGCACCAGAGCCUGGUACCACUGCAGGUCAUCCUGCACGGUCUGUUCCCGAGACUUAUUGCUCUGCAACAUCAUGUUGAGGAAGUUGGUGGCGUGUGUCAGAGUGUCCAGCGCCCCGUGCAAGGAAGGAUGGGAGCUGGCUAGGGACGGUGACUUUCCCGGCAGGCCAGCCAACUCGUAGCGGCCUGAGCAGUUGGCUCUCUUCAGCUGGUGGAAGUCCCCAGUGUAGAGCACUAUUUCUGGGCCUCCACGUGUCUCCUCCUGGACCGUCUGGCUGACCCACUUUCCCAGUGGAGCAACAUUGUCCUCUAUCUGAUGCUCAGGCAGUGAACAGAAGGCUGAGGAAAUGAGAAGCUGUGUCCCCACUGAGGACAGCUAAGCUCCUGGCAUGGGGCACACAGCAAGAUCACAGAGGCCCUGCAGAAUUCUCCAGAAAGCCAGUUCUGAUCAAUGACAGAGCAGCAUGGUCCAGAAAAAACAUUCCUAGGAUAUUUUUUUAGCACAAAUAAACAGUAAUAUGGAAAUGAGAGAAGACCACAGAUUUUAAUCUAAUGUACACAGCAAUAUAUGCUACAAUGGUUACAGUAUCUGAAAACUGGAUAAAAUAGUGAAAUAGUAAGGAUUUACAUAUUUGACAAUUGCACUUUAUUGAUUCUCUCAAAGGAGAAAAACUAGGAAAGAAGUUUUUGCAUGUAUUCUCUCCCUUUAGGACACAGGUACUGGUCUGUCUUCUGCUAACAAGGACUUAAGAUGUGAACGCAGAAAGGGUCACUUCCCACUGUCACUACUUUAACUGUUCCUAGAAGCAGAUAGAUGCUCCCAGAGAUGCAGAUUUCAGUGCUCCCUUGGAAGUGAAAGUUGCCUGGUAUCAGAUUUCUUUCUGAUAUCAAGAGAAACCCUCCCAGCAGGGCUUGUCUUUAAAAUAUCCAGGAACUGUGGGGCUGGAGGUGUGCCUCAGUGUGCAGGCCAGGCCCCAGGUUUGAUCCUCAGUGCUUCAAAGUAAGAAGAAAGAAACUGUGCACACCAGCAGUUGUCCUGAGAAAGAAGGAAGCAUACUCAUGUGCUCAGGCUAGAAAGCCAUCCAUGAGAAUAGCAGCAUUCCAGAUCAUCGCGUGACAUGAAGCUUCUGCUAUCCUGAUUAUUAACAGAGUAAAAACUUAAAAGUGUGAAGCAGACAAUCCCUUAAAUAUAGGGAGAUAGAAUUCAGACAGCAGUUCUGUGAUUGCCAAUAAGUUUGUCUCUGAAAUUAAGCUGGAAGUCAUAGAAAUAGUAAUUCUUGGGAGAAGAAAAAAACCAAAGAUUUGGACAAUAGAAAUAUUGAUAAACAUGCUAAGUGAAGGGGGAUCUCAUGGGGUCCAAGCUCUAGACAGGCUACAGGCAAUUAAUGGCUGCUGGGAGAGAAAAAAUGAGCAAUCCCUCCUAGGAAUAAGUCCCCGGACUGGUUAUCCAUACAAAGGAGUCACUCUUCUACCACACACACACACAUAAACAACAAAUAUGCUUGUAUUUCCAUAUUUGUGACUAUAUAUGUAUGUGUGUGAUAAUAAAAGAGGCUACUGUGUGCUGCAAAUAUAUGCUAAUUUAAAAAUGUAUAUAUUUUUAGAACCAGGAAAUGCUUAAUGACAUUUCCUGGUGACUUCUGAAUUACUAAAUGUCACUGUGGAGUUCCCCACAGAUUAUGAUAAAGUUUUUCUGUCCAGUCUGUUGGUCUUUUAUUACAGUGUCUUGGGAGGAAGGUGGGCUUUCUAGUCUUUAAAUCUACUCCCUCCUGUGUGACGGUGGCUUUGGAACCAUAGUCAGGCAGAUCACUUGGCCACAGCAGUAUAAAGAAAGAGUUUGGGUAUUAGAAAGGGACUGAGAUUCGGGUGGAAAGUGAAUAAUUGAAUUGAUUAAUGGAGAAAAAGUGAAGAAGACAUAUCUUAAAAUAGAAAUAAAUAAAAUUAUGAAUAAAAAUGGACAUGUCAGUCUGUGUGUAGUAUACACACUGACAACUACACCCACCUGAAUAGUACACCUACUAAGUACUACACCUACUGAAUGCCUCAUUUUGAAUUUUUAUACAUUCUUUAUAAACUCUUCAUAUGAGCAACUGAAAUAAAUCAGUGGGUCAUGGUUUCUUUUUCUCCUCAGAAAAAAGACCUCCCAUGCUCUUGGUAAGCAACUCUCCUAAAACCCAAAGGAAGAACAAGGAACUAGAAUAAGGUAGCCCUGGGUCCAAUCUCAACAUCCAAGACCUUCCUCCUAACAGCCUUCAGCUAUCUGUCUAAUUUGGUUUGGUGGGGCAGUUUUUGGCUAGAAGAGUGAUCAGGCAUUUAAUGCCAAUCUCAGAAAAAAUAUCUAGGAAAAUAAUUGAGCGAAUGCACACUAUG
ensembl:antisense